rnacentral:rRNA from 1 species
GAGUUUGAUCAUGGCUCAGAUUGAACGCUGGCGGCAGGCCUAACACAUGCAAGUCGAACGGUAACAGGAAACAGCUUGCUGUUUCGCUGACGAGUGGCGGACGGGUGAGUAAUGUCUGGGAAACUGCCUGAUGGAGGGGGAUAACUACUGGAAACGGUAGCUAAUACCGCAUAACGUCGCAAGACCAAAGAGGGGGACCCUCGGGCCUCUUGCCAUCGGAUGUGCCCAGAUGGGAUUAGCUUGUUGGUGGGGUAACGGCUCACCAAGGCGACGAUCCCUAGCUGGUCUGAGAGGAUGACCAGCCACACUGGAACUGAGACACGGUCCAGACUCCUACGGGAGGCAGCAGUGGGGAAUAUUGCACAAUGGGCGCAAGCCUGAUGCAGCCAUGCCGCGUGUAUGAAGAAGGCCUUCGGGUUGUAAAGUACUUUCAGCGGGGAGGAAGGGAGUAAAGUUAAUACCUUUGCUCAUUGACGUUACCCGCAGAAGAAGCACCGGCUAACUCCGUGCCAGCAGCCGCGGUAAUACGGAGGGUGCAAGCGUUAAUCGGAAUUACUGGGCGUAAAGCGCACGCAGGCGGUUUGUUAAGUCAGAUGUGAAAUCCCCGGGCUCAACCUGGGAACUGCAUCUGAUACUGGCAAGCUUGAGUCUCGUAGAGGGGGGUAGAAUUCCAGGUGUAGCGGUGAAAUGCGUAGAGAUCUGGAGGAAUACCGGUGGCGAAGGCGGCCCCCUGGACGAAGACUGACGCUCAGGUGCGAAAGCGUGGGGAGCAAACAGGAUUAGAUACCCUGGUAGUCCACGCCGUAAACGAUGUCGACUUGGAGGUUGUGCCCUUGAGGCGUGGCUUCCGGAGCUAACGCGUUAAGUCGACCGCCUGGGGAGUACGGCCGCAAGGUUAAAACUCAAAUGAAUUGACGGGGGCCCGCACAAGCGGUGGAGCAUGUGGUUUAAUUCGAUGCAACGCGAAGAACCUUACCUGGUCUUGACAUCCACGGAAGUUUUCAGAGAUGAGAAUGUGCCUUCGGGAACCGUGAGACAGGUGCUGCAUGGCUGUCGUCAGCUCGUGUUGUGAAAUGUUGGGUUAAGUCCCGCAACGAGCGCAACCCUUAUCCUUUGUUGCCAGCGGUCCGGCCGGGAACUCAAAGGAGACUGCCAGUGAUAAACUGGAGGAAGGUGGGGAUGACGUCAAGUCAUCAUGGCCCUUACGACCAGGGCUACACACGUGCUACAAUGGCGCAUACAAAGAGAAGCGACCUCGCGAGAGCAAGCGGACCUCAUAAAGUGCGUCGUAGUCCGGAUUGGAGUCUGCAACUCGACUCCAUGAAGUCGGAAUCGCUAGUAAUCGUGGAUCAGAAUGCCACGG